UCAGGAUUCCUAGCGGGCCUGGUUCCAGACAGGGAGCGGAGCAGAGAAUGCUGACCGGAGCCGGGGAGAUGAGGGCAGGUGCUGGGGGAGCCCGGCCGGAGCUUUACCGCUGGAGGAGGCAGAAUAUGGGGGGGCACCAAGGUGAGGGCCAGCGGAGGGGUUCCGUGUAACCCGGAGCCUGAGAGAGAGAACCAUUGUACUACCUGGGGGCCUGAGCGAGAGUAUACAUAUAUGGAUAGGGGUGACAACAUGGGCAAUGGUGACAACAUGGGCAAUAUUGACAAGAACGGGGUUUACUACCGCUUUAAAUAAAAAAAA